UUUGCAGCAGCAGAGUAGAAAACUUCCACAAUGGACGCAAGUCUGAUGGAGCAACGCCGCGUGAGUGAAGAAGGCUUUCGGGUCGUAAAACUCUGUUGUUGGAGAAGAAUGGUCGGCAGAGUAACUGUUGUCGGCGUGACGGUAUCCAACCAGAAAGCCACGGCUAACUACGUGCCAGCAGCCGCGGUAAUACGUAGGUGGCAAGCGUUAUCCGGAUUUAUUGGGCGUAAAGCGAGCGCAGGCGGUUUUUUAAGUCUGAUGUGAAAGCCCUCGGCUUAACCGAGGAAGUGCAUCGGAAACUGGGAAACUUGAGUGCAGAAGAGGACAGUGGAACUCCAUGUGUAGCGGUGAAAUGCGUAGAUAUAUGGAAGAACACCAGUGGCGAAGGCGGCUGUCUGGUCUGUAACUGACGCUGAGGCUCGAAAGCAUGGGUAGCGAACAGGAUUAGAUACCCUGGUAGUCCAUGCCGUAAACGAUGAAUGCUAGGUGUUGGAGGGUUUCCGCCCUUCAGUGCCGCAGCUAACGCAUUAAGCAUUCCGCCUGGGGAGUACGACCGCAAGGUUGAAACUCAAAGGAAUUGACGGGGGCCCGCACAAGCGGUGGAGCAUGUGGUUUAAUUCGAAGCAACGCGAAGAACCUUACCAGGUCUUGACAUCUUUUGAUCACCUGAGAGAUCAGGUUUCCCCUUCGGGGGCAAAAUGACAGGUGGUGCAUGGUGUCGUCAGCUCCGUCCAUU
rnacentral:rRNA from 2 species